GACGAACGCUGGCGGCGUGCUUAACACAUGCAAGUCGAACGAAGUGGCGAACGGGUGAGUAAUAAGUGCGUAACCUGCCCUCCUUUUUGGGAUAAGCCUUGGAAACGGGGUCUAAUACCGAAUAGAGGGGGAUGGGCUCGCGGCCUAUCAGCUUGUUGGUGGGGUGAUGGCCUACCAAGGCGGUGACGGUUAGCCGGCCUGAGAUGGUGACCGGCCACAUUGGGCCUGAGAUACGGCCCAGACGCGUACGGGAGGCAGCAGUGGGGGAUAUUGCACAAGGGGCGAAAGCCUGAGGCAGCGACGCCGCGUGUGGGAUGAAGGCUUUCGGGGUGUAAACCUCUUUCGCUAUCUAACGUGUAGGUGGAGAAGAAGCGCCGGCUAACUACGUGCCAGCAGCCGCGGUAAUAC
rnacentral:rRNA from 1 species